CCUACGGGUGGCAGCAGUGGGGAAUAUUGGGCAAUGGGCGCAAGCCUGACCCAGCAACGCCGCGUGAAGGAAGAAGGCUUUCGGGUUGUAAACUUCUUUCCUGAGGGACGAAGGAAGUGACGGUACCUCAGGAAUAAGCCACGGCUAACUACGUGCCAGCAGCCGCGGUAAUACGUAGGUGGCAAGCGUUAUCCGGAUUUAUUGGGUGUAAAGGGCGCGUAGGCGGUAAAGCAAGUCAGAUGUGAAAGCUCAGGGCUCAACCCUGAGCCUGCAUUGGAAACUGUUUUUCUUGGGUGCUGGAGAGGCAAUCGGAAUUCCGUGUGUAGCGGUGAAAUGCGUAGAUAUACGGAGGAACACCAGUGGCGAAGGCGGAUUGCUGGACAGUAACUGACGCUGAGGCGCGAAAGCGUGGGGAGCAAACAGGAUUAGAUACCCUUGUAGUC
rnacentral:rRNA from 1 species